rnacentral:rRNA from 1 species
ACGAACGCUGGCGGCGUGCCUAAUACAUGCAAGUCGAGCGCACGGACGAGAAGCUUGCUUCUCUGAUGUUAGCGGCGGACGGGUGAGUAACACGUGGAUAACCUACCUAUAAGACUGGGAUAACUUCGGGAAACCGGAGCUAAUACCGGAUAAUAUUUUGAACCGCAUGGUUCAAAAGUGAAAGACGGUCUUGCUGUCACUUAUAGAUGGAUCCGCGCUGCAUUAGCUAGUUGGUAAGGUAACGGCUUACCAAGGCAACGAUGCAUAGCCGACCUGAGAGGGUGAUCGGCCACACUGGAACUGAGACACGGUCCAGACUCCUACGGGAGGCAGCAGUAGGGAAUCUUCCGCAAUGGGCGAAAGCCUGACGGAGCAACGCCGCGUGAGUGAUGAAGGUCUUCGGAUCGUAAAACUCUGUUAUUAGGGAAGAACAUAUGUGUAAGUAACUGUGCACAUCUUGACGGUACCUAAUCAGAAAGCCACGGCUAACUACGUG